CCCUUCAGGAUCCAUCUUUCUCUGUAUCUCAGGCUUCUGGUCAACAGAGGAAAACACGCUUUUGCUGUUAAAAUGAGACUUGAAGAUUUUUAGAAAAUGACACUGUGAAGAUAAGAUGGCACCACGGUCAAUUCCAUCUUAGCAGCACUACGUGGGAUGGAACAUUACAACCUAAAGAUGAGUCCAUAUUUUCUCUGAAGUGGGGAGCUAAGUGAAUUGUACUCUUUUUUUGUUCUCCCAGCCCCAAUGAGAAGCGGCAAGGGAUUCAGAUAACAUGUGAAGGAGGCAGAGGUUAAGGAACAAGGACUUCCAGGAUCCAGUUCUAUUCUGUACGUCAGUGAUCAGAUAGAGUAUUUUUGGUGCCAAGGAAGACUCUGAAGUUUUUAGAUCUGAGGAUAAAUAGCCAUCAGUAACCACAACUCCUCUCAUCUCCUUGGAGGCCACAGAUCAUAUAGCCUAUGUCACGAUCAAGAGACUCCAUGUCCUGCAGAGAAGCAUCUGAUUGGACAAGUGGAGGUUACAAGCCCAUGCUGCCAGAACUCAGAAGUUUCCUCUUCAGGUUUCUAUAGUAAGAGGCUCUUCCAAAACCCAGAGGACAUGGGCCUUCUGCUGAAGAUAAGCUUACAACAUCAAAAGAGGUAAAAUAAUAAACUAUGUGAGUAAGUAAAUACUAUUAGA
rnacentral:lncRNA from 1 species